rnacentral:rRNA from 1 species
UACAGAGGGUGCGAGCGUUAAUCGGAAUUACUGGGCGUAAAGCGUGCGCAGACGGUUGCGUAAGUCAGAUGUGAAAGCCCCGGGCUUAACCUGGGAACUGCAUUGGUGACUGGCAGGCUUUGAGUGUGGCAGAGGGAGGUAGAAUUCCACGUGUAGCAGUGAAAUGCGUAGAGAUGUGGAGGAAUACCGAUGGCGAAGGCAGCCUCCUGGGCCAACACUGACGCUCAUGCACGAAAGCGUGGGGAGCAAACAGG